rnacentral:lncRNA from 1 species
AAAGGAUCAAUUAACACAAAUAUAAUAUAUUUUUAUUGCCCUCAAUCGCUCAAAACAAAAAUAAACCACAUUUAGAAUAGAUUCAUAUCAUGAGAAAGAAAAUAUUAGAAAAUACAGAAAUGAAUUUGUCCAAGAAGAAAAAAAUCUUACAAAACAAAAUGUGUAUACAUGUGAAUUGAACAUUUUACCCCACAUCAUAUUAUGAAAUUAAAGACAUUCAAGAAAUAAACAGGCCAAGCCACUUUCAUUACAGGUGUCUGUAUCUAACUAGUAACCUGCUAGGGCUUUUUCUUGAUUGAAAGCACAUUCUUCCAUUCUAUUGUUAGUAGGACAUUUUGGAACUUCUUUUUCACCACUGGCAUUUGAGUUCCAGCAGAGGGCACCACCACAUCAUCUGACCUUACAUGCCUCAAGACCUCCCGUGUAACUCUAAGCUCUUUUAUUUUCGCCGGGGAAUCAGAGUGACUUCUUCCCCUGUGAAUGGGAGUGGGUGUAGAGGGCACAGCGCCUACUGUAGCCCCUUGUACAACCCUUCCAUGUUCAUUAAACAUGACAUUUUUGUCAUUCAGCAGACGCUCUUAUCCAGAGUCACUGCACAGUUUGUGCAUCUAUCUUAAGAUCGCUAGGUGAGACAACCACAUGACACAGUCAUAGUCAGUACAUUUUUCCUCAAUGAAUGAUCAAAGCGAGUAAGAAAAGAGUAGUGGUAGGUGUCAACAAGGGUGUUAAAGAUACUGAAGAGGUGGCUUUUCAGAUGUUUUCGGAAGAUGGGCUGUGACUCAGCUGUCCUGAUUUUUAGGGAGAACUGGAAGCUUGUUCCACCAUUUGGGUGCCAGGACAGAGAAUAGCUUUGCCUGGGAUGAACGAGAGCCAGGCUCACCCUGGUAUUUUGCUGUGUUGGGAAAGCUACUCAGAUAAGAUAGUUUAGCAAGCUACCAAUUACCUCACACUGGAAGAAGUUAAGAAAAAUUGUUUACUUAAAGUUAUUUUGAAAAAGUAGUUCACUACAUCCAAACUACUUUUUGAAAAAGUAUCAUAUCUAAAUCUGAAAUGUCAGACUACAAAUUGCAAGAGAUCACUUUGGGGUCAUAUAUUAACAGAAUGUGUAAUUUAGCCUAAACACAAAAACUAUGUUUCAAGUGAGAAACAGGUUGGUCUGAUGCCAAAAAAUGGAAAUGAUGGCCUACUUCACUCAUUUUAUUUUAGCCAAAAAUGUAGUGUGUAGUUCCAGUAGUUAGCUACACAGCUAAAAUGUAGUGUGUAGUUCCUGUAGUUAGCUACACCGCUACACGGCUAAAAUGUAGUGUGUAGUUCCAGUAGUUAGCUACCCCGCUACGUGGCUAAAAUGUAGUGUGUAGUUCCAGUAGUUAGCUACACCGCUACAUGGCUAAAACGUAAUAUGUAGUUCCAGUAGUUAGCUACACCACUACAUGGCUAAAACGUAAUAUGUAGUUCCAGUAGUUAGCUACACUGCUACAUGACAACAAGUAAUGAACUACUGCAAACACUAUCUAGAUUUGAAUUUAGCUCCACUACCACCAAGCUACUGCAAAAUGUAGUUAAUUUACUAGUAAUCUGGUGCAGUAGCAGACACAGGGUCAGGUACUGGGCCAGGAGCACUAUGGGCACUCCUGUCCAGUACCCUCCCUGUUAGCCCAGCUGGUAGCAGGUGUAUGGGUUUUCCCAGGAGCCUCUGCUUCAUCUCAUAACUUUCCUUGGAAGGUCCUACAAGGCGGAGGAGAUCUCCAACCUGAUUGACGAGGACAGUGGGAUAAAUUAUAUUAUACUUCUGAACCAGUUCAUGAAUUCUAACCUGUCGGUCGCGAUCGAGUGUCCAUAGUGGGAUUUCUUGAGUUCGUAGUCUUAAAUGAAGCUUGGUGAGAAAAACUUGCAGCUUUUCCAUAACCCUCUCUGGACUCUUCCCUUUAAGGAAAACAUAGCGGAGGUCUGAACUGUCAGCUGGCUUAACAUCCAUUUGAGUUGUGUGGCCUACAAGAAUGGAAUCAAUGUCCUUUUUCCUGACGCACAGGGCAUAACUGAGCACAUCUGCGUCUGUUAUGAAGAAGACCUCACUGCAAGAUUGGGUCUGGGAGAUGGGUUCCACUGGCUUGGGGGAUGGGUUCCUCAUAUGGGUCAAGUUGUCCCCAACAUACCCCGUUGCUUGUCGGCUGGGAAAUGGGUUGCAGCGGAUUGAGGAUUUGGAAAUGGCCCCAGAGGCAUGGCUAUUGAGACUGGAUGGGGAAGGGCUGCUGUGGCGCAGGGUGUUUGUGUCCUGGGGUAAGACCUGCUGCAGUUGGAAGGAGCCCUGAAUGGGUAGCUGACCAUGGGGAAUCUCGUUCACAGGCUGGAGCGCCUUCUCGCUGUCAAUGGAGAACAUGCUCACAUCCAGAUUGGCCUUGACUGGCAUGUCCACCUGCGACACACACAUAUACAC